rnacentral:tRNA from 1 species
GGGCGAGUGGUGGAAUGGCAUACACGUACGGCUUAGAACCGUAUUCCGCAAGGAUUGGAGGUUCGAGUCCUCUCUCGCCCACCA